rnacentral:rRNA from 1 species
CUCCGGUUGAUCCUGCCGGACCCGACUGCUAUCGGAUUGAGAUUUAGCCAUGCGAGUCGAACGUCCCCCUGUUGCGGGGGGCGUGGCGUACGGCUCAGUAACACGUAGUCAACCUGCCCUGGAGACAAGGACAACCCCGGGAAACUGGGAUUAAUCCUUGAUAGGUCAUCUCAUCUGGAAGGAGAGAUGGCUUAAAGGGGUACGCGGGCUUCUUCCGCGAAUCUGCUCCAGGAUGGGACUGCGUCCGAUCAGGCUGUUGGCGGGGUAAUGGCCCACCAAACCUGUAACCGGUACGGGCCUUGAGAGAGGUGGCCCGGAGAUGGACACUGAGAGAAGGGUCCAGGUCCUACGGGGCGCAGCAGGCGCGAAACCUUCGCAAUGCGCGAAAGCGUGACGAGGUUAAUCCGAGUGACUCCCGCUGAGGGGGUCUUUUGUCAGCUGUAAAUAGGCAGGCGAAUAAGGGGAGGGCAAGCCUGGUGUCAGCCGCCGCGGUAAUACCAGCUCCUCGAGUGGUCGGGGCGAUUAUUGGGCCUAAAGCAUCCGUAGCCGGUUCCGUAGGUCCUCUGUUAAAUCCAACCGCUUAACGGUUGACCUGCAGAGGAUACCGCGGGACUAGGAGGCGGGAGAGGCGGACGGUACUCCGCGUGUAGGGGUAAAAUCCUUUGAUCCGCGGAAGACCACCAGUGGCGAAGGCGGUCCGCCAGAACGCGCUCGACGGUGAGGGAUGAAAGCUGGGGGAGCGAACCGGAUUAGAUACCCGGGUAGUCCCAGCCGUAAACGAUGCUAGCUAGAUGAUUCAUUCGCAAGUCGCGAAUGAAGUGUCGCAGGGAAGCCGUUAAGCUAGCCGCCUGGGGAGUACGGUCGCAAGACUGAAACUUAAAGGAUUUGGCGGGGGAGCA